GGGUUAGUAGGUUGGUCAUGCCUCUGGUAUGUACUGGUCUCACUGAUUCCUCCUUCCUGAUGAGCCGUAAUGUCAUUUAUUUGAUGUUAUGGGGAAUUAGGACUGUUACCUUGAAAAAAUUAGAGUGUUUAAAGCAAGCUUACGCUUGAAUACAUUAGCAUGGAAUAAUGAAAUAGGACAUCAGAUUCUAUUUUGUUGGUUUCUAGGAUCGAUGUA
rnacentral:rRNA from 1 species